CGAGGGCAGGGUUUUUCCCCCGGUUUCAGCACCCAGGCGCGGCCCCCUCCGCUCCCCGCGCGGGGCUGGGGUGAGCCCGGCGCCCAGCGGGGCUCAGAUUGCAGCAAGGGCAGUCGCGGUUAGAGACCUUCGCGGCGAGGGCGGUCGAGCACCGGGAAAGGGACCGAGAGCCAGGGGAAGCUCCCUCCUUGGAGGGCUUAAAAACCGGCCUGAGCAACUGCCCUCUCGGAGCAGGGGGACACACAGGGGCUGCACAGGGACCUCCCGGUUUCCCUCCCCACCUAAACCAGCACGCGACUCGGACCCUGGGAGCGGGAGACUUGCUUCCUCCAGCUACAUGACAUUAAGAAGCAAAAUCACUAAGGACAUUUCCAAAAAAAAAAAAAAAAUCAUAGCUUUGGAAAAGCUUGGCCCAAAAUAGCUAGGACGAGUCGCCCAGACCAAUUUCUCCUCUCUUGUCCCUUUCUCCUGCAAGCAGCAGCAAGCACAGGGCCCUGCCGGCUUUACGAAGCAGCAAAAGACGCAUGUACCUAGAAGCACUUAAAAAAGCUGAAUAGAUGGACGCUGCAAUUACUGCCAUGUAUUAAUUGUACUGCACUCAGAGUCACUGUCCCCCGCGCGAGACGGCAGCAGGAGGCAGUAGCAGGCCAGGAGGUGUCCGGAGAGGAAGCCCAGGCAGGCGCUCCCGGCGGCGCAUCCGAGGGGCCAGGAAACCUGCGGCCAGGCUGGAAGGGGCAUCUCAUCCCGGCUUCCCCCGGGAGAAACACACUGCACGCGACGCCACGGCCGCAAAGGAAGCGGAUGCCAGCUACGCUGGAGUCGCAGCUCCUCCGGGGAGAUGAAUUCCUGGCGCUCCCACCGGUUGGCAUUUCCUGCAAGUAACUCAGAGAAUUUGUCACCGCUUAAAAAGCCCUGCUGGCACAAGCAGACGGAGGAGCCUCCGUGCCAGCCGGGUGCCGAGCUCAGCUUGCGGCAGCGCGCAGGUGAGCGCCCUGGGGAGGGAAGCCAAGGGGCAGCGAGCCAGGAUGCCCAAGGCCACCUCGCCGGCGCCCCUGCCCCGUCCUGGAGCAUCACUCGCGGCUUUCCGGGGGCACUGAGCAGUCAGCUCCUCCUUUGAUGCCCAGGAGCAAACAGCUUGGAAAUUUAUGCACAGCAUUAAGCAGGAUGCUUUGGUCUCCAACUAGGUUAAAUUGCUUUCUCUGUUUAAUUUGCCUGCUAGCUUGGGUGGACGCGAGGCACAGCUGGGGAACGGAGAGCUCCAUCCAGUAAACAGAGGAGGAAAUCCUCAUGGGUUGAUCUGCUCUAAUUAGACGAUUUGCCCCGACUCCGGCACAGGACCCGAGGAGCCGCGCGUGGCUGCACGGGGUGCCAGAUCGCGGCCGGAGAGGGGAGCAUCCCUCGGACACCCGCUCGCACGGGCAAACAAAACCCUGCCUUUCACGAGAAGGGGAACAAGCGGCUGCUAACAGCAAACACGGCUUGUGGCUUGCUUCGCUAACUCCAGGUUUCUGCUCGACAUUGCCUGCAAAAACUCCUUCCAAAGUUCCUAUCCUUCUAAAAAAAAAAAAAAGAAAAAAAAAAAAAUAGAGAAAUCUCAAGAGUGUUGUUUCCAAGCCAGAGCGCUUUGGGCACCGUCGGGCCCGUCCUUGCCACCCCUCCUCCGGUGGCCGGCGCUCGCCCCUCUCCUCCGCACCCGGCGCGGGCGGCAUCCUAUGGCUCUGCGGUGCCGUCGACGGUGNNNNNNNNNNNNNNNNNNNNNNNNNNNNNNNNNNNNNNNNNNNNNNNNNNNNNNNNNNNNNNNNNNNNNNNNNNNNNNNNNNNNNNCCACCCCGCUUUCUUUAUCGGGGACAGGGAGGCUCUCUGGGAAAGCGUUAGUGGCUGCAUUCAAUUAUUGCUUUAUGCAACAUCCAAAAAAGUCUUUUCAGCACUUUCUCGUAUCAAGGAAGUAAUUGAGUCAAAAUGAAGAAGAAAUUAUCUAUGAAGUUAAUUAUCUAGCAGACAUGUUUUACACUCAGUCGUUUUUCACUGCUAGGCAGUAACUGGAAGCACAGGCAUUUCUCUCUUCU
ensembl:lncRNA